AUAUUGGUCAAUGGAUGCAAGUCUGAACCAGCCAUGCCGCGUGCAGGAAGAAGGCCUUCUGGGUUGUAAACUGCUUUUGCCGGGGGAUAAAAUUCCCAUGCGUGGGAAAUUGAAGGUACCCGGUGAAUAAGCCACGGCUAACUACGUGCCAGCAGCCGCGGUAAUACGUAGGUGGCAAGCGUUGUCCGGAUUUAUUGGGUUUAAAGGGUGUGUAGGCGGAUAUUUAAGUCAGUGGUGAAAUCUCCGGGCUCAACCCGGAAACUGCCGUUGAUACUAUUUAUCUUGAAUUCUGUUGAGGUGGGCGGAAUACAUCAUGUAGCGGUGAAAUGCUUAGAUAUGAUGUAGAACACCGAUUGCGAAGGCAGCUCACUAAGCAGACAUUGACGCUGAGGCACGAAAGCGUGGGGAUCAA
rnacentral:rRNA from 1 species